AUUGAACGCUGGCGGCAUGCUUUACACAUGCCAGUCGAACGGCAGCGCGGGCUUCGGCCUGGCGGCGAGUGGCGAACGGGUGAGUAAUACAUCGGAACGUGCCCAGUAGUGGGGGAUAGCUCGGCGAAAGCCGGAUUAAUACCGCAUACGACCUGAGGGUGAAAGCGGGGGAUCUUCGGACCUCGCGCUAUUGGAGCGGCCGAUGGCAGAUUAGCUAGUUGGUGGGGUAAAGGCCUACCAAGGCGACGAUCUGUAGCUGGUCUGAGAGGACGACCAGCCACACUGGGACUGAGACACGGCCCAGACUCCUACGGGAGGCAGCAGUGGGGAAUUUUGGACAAUGGGCGAAAGCCUGAUCCAGCAAUGCCGCGUGUGUGAUGAAGGCCUUCGGGUUGUAAAGUACUUUUGGCGGGAACGAAAAGGACUGUGCCAAUACCACGGUUCGAUGACGGUACCCGCAGAAUAAGCACCGGCUAACUACGUG
rnacentral:rRNA from 1 species